rnacentral:rRNA from 1 species
AUUGAACGCUGGCGGCAUGCCUUACACAUGCAAGUCGAACGGCAGCAUGGGUGCUUGCACCUGAUGGCGAGUGGCGAACGGGUGAGUGAUGCAUCGGAACGUACCCGGAAGUGGGGGAUAACGUAGCGAAAGUUACGCUAAUACCGCAUAUUCUGUGAGCAGAAAGUGGGGGAUCGCAAGACCUCGCGCUUCCGGAGCGGCCGAUGUCGGAUUAGCUAGUUGGCGGGGUAAAGGCCCACCAAGGCAAUGAUCCGUAGCGGGGCUGAGAGGAUGAUCCGCCACACUGGGACUGGGACACGGCCCAGACGCCUACGGGAGGCAGCAGGGGGGAAUUUUGGACAAUGGGGGCAACCCGGAUCCAGCCAUGCCGCGUGAGUGAAGAAGGCCUUCGGGUUGUAAAGCUCUUUCGGCCGGGAAGAAAUCGCACAGGUUAAUACCUUGUGUGGAUGACGGUACCGGAAUAAGAAGCACCGGCUAACUACGUGCCAGCCGCCGCCGUAAAAC